rnacentral:rRNA from 1 species
UACGAAGGGGGCUAGCGUUGCUCGGAAUCACUGGGCGUAAAGGGUGCGUAGGCGGGUCUUUAAGUCAGGGGGGAAAUCCUGGAGCUCAACUCCAGAACUGCCUUUGAUACUGAGGAUCUUGAGUUCGGGAGAGGUGAGUGGAACUGCGAGUGUAGAGGUGAAAUUCGUAGAUAUUCGGAAGAACACCAGUGGCGAAGGCGGCUCACUGGUCCGGUACUGACGCUGAGGUGCGAAAGCGUGGGGAGCAAACAGG